rnacentral:antisense_RNA from 1 species
UUUCAGCGAGCCCAGCCACAGCGGCCGGUCCUCGGCACGCCCCUGACCGUAGGUCGCCAGCAGCGCCUGCGCCUC